UACGUAGGCAGCGAGCGUUGUUCGGAGUUACUGGGCGUAAAGAGUGCGUAGGCGGUUUUCUAAGUUUGGUGUGAAAUCUCCCGGCUUAACUGGGAGGGUGCGCCGAAGACUGGAAGGCUUGAGUAUGGGAGAGGUAAGCGGAAUUCCUGGUGUAGCGGUGAAAUGCGCAGAUAUCAGGAGGAACACCGGUGGCGAAGGCGGGUCUCUGGGCCGAUACUGACGCUGAGGAGCGAAAGCGUGGGGAGCGAACAGG
rnacentral:rRNA from 1 species